AUUGAACGCUGGCGGCAUGUCUUACACAUGCAAGUCGAACGGCAGCACGGGGCAACCUGGUGGCGAGUGGCGAACGGGUGAGUAAUGCAUCGGAACGUACCUUUCAGUGGAGGAUAACGUAGCGAAAGUUACGCUAAUACCGCAUAUUCUGUGAGCAGGAAAGCAGGGGAUCGCAAGACCUUGCGCUGAUUGAGCGGCCGAGGUCAGAUUAGCUAGUUGGUGAGGUAAAGGCUAACCAAGGCGACGAUCUGUAGCGGGUCUGAGAGGAUGAUCCGCCACACUGGAACUGAGACACGGUCCAGACUCCUACGGGAGGCAGCAGUGGGGAAUUUUGGACAAUGGGGGCAACCCUGAUCCAGCCAUGCCGCGUAAGUGAAGAAGGCCUUCGGGUUGUAAAGCUCUUUCGGCCGGGAAGAAAUCGCACGGGCUAAUACCCUGUGUGGAUGACGGUACCGGAAUAAGAAGCACCGGCUAACUACGUGCCAGCAGCCGCCGUAA
rnacentral:rRNA from 1 species